rnacentral:tRNA from 1 species
UUAAAGGAAGCCAAAGAAGCGGCGAGCCACUGUUAAUGGCUAUUAGGCACUCAGCCUCUUUAAU